rnacentral:rRNA from 1 species
UGGGGAAUCUUCCGCAAUGGACGAAAGUCUGACGGAGCGACGCCGCGUGAGUGAUUACGGCCUUCGGGUUGUAAAGCUCUGUUAAUCGGGACGAAUGGUUCUUGUGCAAAUAGUGCGAGGAUUUGACGGUACCGGAAUAGAAAGCCACGGCUAACUACGUGCCAGCAGCCGCGGUAAUACGUAGGUGGCAAGCGUUGUCCGGAAUUAUUGGGCGUAAAGCGCGCGCAGGCGGAUUGGUCAGUCUGUCUUAAAAGUUCGGGGCUUAACCCCGUGAUGGGAUGGAAACUGCCAAUCUAGAGUAUCGGAGAGGAAAGUGGAAUUCCUAGUGUAGCGGUGAAAUGCGUAGAUAUUAGGAAGAACACCAGUGGCGAAGGCGACUUUCUGGACGAAAACUGACGCUGAGGCGCGAAAGCCAGGGGAGCGAACGGGAUUAGAUACCCCGGUAGUCCUGGCCGUAAACGAUGGGUACUAGGUGUAGGAGGUAUCGACCCCUUCUGUGCCGGAGUUAACGCAAUAAGUACCCCGCCUGGGGAGUACGACCGCAAGGUUG